CCUACGGUGGGCUGCAGUGAGGAAUAUUGGUCAAUGGACGAGAGUCUGACCCAGCCAAGUAGCGUGAAGGAUGACUGCCCUAUGGGUUGUCAACUUCUUUUAUAAAGGAAUAAAACGAGGCACGUGUGCCUUUUUGCAUGUACUUUAUGAAUAAGGAUCGGCUAACACCGUGCCAGCAGCCGCGGUAAUACGGAGGAUCCGAGCGUUAUCCGGAUUUAUUGGGUUUAAAGGGAGCGUAGAUGGGUUGUUAAGUCAGUUGUGAAAGUUUUCGGCUCAACCGUAAAAUUGCAAUUGAUACUGGCAGUCUUGAGUACAGUUGAGGUAGGCGGAAUUCGUGGUGUAGCGGUGAAAGGCGUAGAUAUCACGAAGAACCCCGAUUGCGAAGGCAGCUUACUAAACUGUGACUGACAUUGAUGCUCGAAAGUGUGGGUAUCAAACAGGAUUAGAUACCCGUGUAGUC
rnacentral:rRNA from 1 species